rnacentral:rRNA from 1 species
AGAGGAAAGAGCUCAAAGUUGGACCUGUUUGGCUUACCUAAACCGGAUUGUAAACUGUAGAAACAUUUUCCAGAUACACUAGACAAAAAAGUCCUUUGGAACAGGGCAUCAUAGAGGGUGAGAAUCCCGUCUUUGGUCUAAGUAGUUGUCUAUUGUGAUAUGUUUUCAAAGAGUCAGGUUGUUUGGGAAUGCAGCCUAAAUUGGGUGGUAAAUCUCACCUAAAGCUAAAUAUUUGCGAGAGACCGAUAGCGAACAAGUACCGUGAGGGAAAGAUGAAAAGAACUUUGAAAAGAGAGUUAAACAGUAUGUGAAAUUGUUAAAAGGGAACCGUUUGGAGCCAGAUUGGCUUGAUUGUAAUCAACCUAGAAUUCGUUUUGGGUGCACUUGCAGUCUAUGCCUGCCAACGACAGUUUGAUUUGGAGGAAAAAAUUAAUAGGAAUGUGGCCUUUCGAGGUGUUAUAGCCUAUUAUCAUACUCUGGAUUGGACUGAGGAACGCAGUGAAUGCCUUUAGCAGAUUGCUGGCGCUU